GGCGGCGUGGCCAUCGCGGAUGCCCUCCGCGUCAAUGCCUCGCUGACGAGCUGCAACGUUCUGAAAAAUAACCUGGACGUUCCUGCUGCCAAGGCCUUGGUG
rnacentral:SRP_RNA from 1 species